UGACGCGUGGGUCUUGACGGCUGCACCCUCGGUUUUGUUUAUCCUUGGGGUAGGUCAAAUUUACGGGAUUUUCCGAUUUUUCGCUGCUGUACAGUAUGGCCACAGAUGGAACAAGGAGCUAGUUAUACAAAUAUUUGCCACGGUGCUUCAAAAGUAAUUAUCCGGUAAAAAAAAAAAAAAAAUACAAACAUCAGUAGCUAAUGAGGAAUUGAUUUCGGAAGAAGUUCCUGACUGCAAUGUGCAGUUCGGGGCUGGGCUCAAUGUGGGCGGAGUCAAACGUCGGGGCUGGGCUCAAUGUGGGUGGAGUCAAACACGUUAAACGCGAACCCUUCCCGUCCCCUUCAAGAUCAUCCAAGUUGAGGUAAACGUCAACGAAUCUUAAUCGAACCUAACCUACAUGGAUAAAAAUACAAACCAUGGAUGGCCUACCAAAGCAAGGUUUCUCAAACAACUGUGGGGUGUUUGUUUUGAUGACGAUACUGAAAACAAAAUGCACGGUGAACUGGGAGCUAUGAACUGGGUAUGUAGUCUGUGUGUAGACUACAUACCCAACACCAACGUUUAAAGGAACCGUUCCCCUCCCUAGUGUAAUUGGGAUAGACGGAAGACUGCAUUACAACCCUUAAAGAACUACAGUUAUAUGAUGGCCUGGGUGAAGAGGAAAAUAUUAUCCUCAAGGAACCAUUCCUGUUACAGAGAGAUUGAGAUGUUCUAUGUGGAGGCAUUUGACAACAGGAAAAUUACUGUCUUUGCCUCUUGAGGAGCAGGAGUGAAGCCAUUUUUGAGGGUUCAAACCUUGUUUUUGUCUGCUGUGUUAAUUGUGUUAUGUUUAGUGAAGAUGCCAUACAAGUCACCUGAGUCGCUCUCUCUUUACUGGAGCUGGUAUAACUUAAUGUACAAAGCACAUUCAGCUUGUCAUAUGUUUAUAUGAUAUAGUCUGUCUCCAUUCUCAUGAGGAAAGUAAAUGGCAUAACUCAGGAUAGGUAGUAACUGUAUAUUUAUGCUCAAUAAAAUAAUAUAGUUAUAACAUUCAACACAAUUUUAACAGUACAUACCACGAAUAACAAGUAUAUUGUUCACUGCAUCAUCAGUAGCGUGCUCAAACUGAACCCGGCCCAAAUUGCACACUGCAGUCAGAGGUACUUGAAUUUCGGCGUGUUAUCCAGUAAAAAAAUAUAUAUACAAAAGUCAGUAGCUAAUGAGGAGUUGAUUUCGGCGGGGUUUGUUGCUGAUAGCUAGCACUGGGACAAGCAGUAACAUAUUGCAGUAGUCAGACACGACAUGAAGCACCAAUAUCGUUGGAUUCUUGAUUUGUUUUUGCACUGAUGUUACACAAAUGUUUCAGAACAGUCGGCCAUUUGAAUGCUACUGUUAUAUAUCUAACAUGAGCUGGCAGGGGUUGAAAUCUAACUAGCUAACGUUACAUCCCAUCCAACCUGUAGUCUGAUGUGUUUGGUUAGCCCGCUAGCUAAUAUAGCCAAUGUUAGGACUCUAGCUAGCGACGAUGCUAACCGUUUAGCUAGCAAUUAAACAUUUGGAUAGCUGGCAUCAAACAUAUAGGGUCACGUUAGUUACAGUUUGGUGAGAGUUUAUUACAUUAUUCAACAUAUUGCUAGAUUUUUAUUUAACUAGGCAAGUCAGUUAAAACCAAAUUCUUAACGGCCGAGGAACAGUGUGUUUACUGCCUUGUUCAGGGGCAGAACGACAGAUUUUUACCUUGUCAACUCGGGGAUUCGAUCUUGCAGCCUUUCAGUUAAUUGGCCAAUGCUCUACCCACUAGGAUACCCGGAUAGACAAAUUACUUUAUACUAUUUCUAGUUAACAACAUCAGCGAAGCUAGUAACACAGUCACAUGGGCUAGCAGGAUGACAUCAUUAAUAUUCUGGAGGAAGUGGAAAUGCUGAUUUGAAAGUGCGAGGCUUCAGAUACAGUUGAUAAGCUGUCACGACGUGCGCGCGGCUGCUCCUCUUCUCCUCUCAUUUAGGUGACUCCGCUUCCAUCCGGAACUCUCAUGUUAUUUAGAGGUGUAGCCAGACCUCACCUUGACCUACCCUCGCUUAAUCUAGUUGACUCUCCAAUAGGGAAAAUAUGUUUCUCCUUGCUCCGUCAGAACAACAUAUCUAUACGUGCUUUAUUUCAAAGGGAUAUUGUAUCCAUUCCUUAUGUCACAAGUUACUGGAAUACAUUGGUCACUAAUAUCUGUUGGAAAAAAGUCUGGUUAUUACCACACAAAUACUUGCUUGUUAGGAAGGCCAACGAGGUCUCUUUCAGAAUGAACCAUAAGUAUUACCCUGCGAAUCAUUACCUGAAGAAACUCAAAAAGGACAUUAACAUUGAUUGUAUUUUUUUGUGUUGAGCAUCCAGAAACGGUUUCGCAUUUAUUUUGGCAUUGUCUACAUGUAAAACAAUUAUGUAAAGAUAUGCACAGUUUUAGAAUUGUUAAUAUUCUUGAUUACUUUUGUUUGUUAUGGGAGAAUGUGCUGCUCGGUUCCCUUAACCGUGAUAAAGAAAAACUAUUUUACUUCAUAAAUCUAAUUGUGCUAGUGGCAAAAUGUCUUAAAACACUCUUCCGUGUUUUCUAUAAGGAAUUUGAGCAGUGCAUUAAGACCAUUCUACAUUCUUCUAAUAAGAAAGCUGUUAAAACAAUCAAUGUGUGUUUCUUUUAAGGUCUUUGUAUAAUUUGUUGUACCCCCUAGCAUAUGUUAUCAUUGUCUAUGUACUUAUUGUAUGUAUACAGACUUUUCUACAUUGGUAAUAAAAAAAUAAUACUAAUAA